rnacentral:rRNA from 1 species
GAGUUUGAUCCUGGCUCAGAUUGAACGCUGGCGGCAGGCCUAACACAUGCAAGUCGAGCGGUAGAGAGAAGCUUGCUUCUCUUGAGAGCGGCGGACGGGUGAGUAAUGCCUAGGAAUCUGCCUGGUAGUGGGGGAUAACGCUCGGAAACGGACGCUAAUACCGCAUACGUCCUACGGGAGAAAGCAGGGGACCUUCGGGCCUUGCGCUAUCAGAUGAGCCUAGGUCGGAUUAGCUAGUUGGUGAGGUAAUGGCUCACCAAGGCGACGAUCCGUAACUGGUCUGAGAGGAUGAUCAGUCACACUGGAACUGAGACACGGUCCAGACUCCUACGGGAGG